rnacentral:rRNA from 1 species
CAGCAGCCGCGGUAAUACGGAGGGGGCUAGCGUUGUUCGGAAUUACUGGGCGUAAAGCGCACGUAGGCGGCUUGGUAAGUUAGAGGUGAAAGCCUGGAGCUCAACUCCAGAAUUGCCUUUAAGACUGCCGAGCUAGCAGGUGAGAGAGGUAAGUGGAAUUCCGAGUGUAGAGGUGAAAUUCGUAGAUAUUCGGAAGAACACCAGUGGCGAAGGCGGCUUACUGGCUUAUAUUGGACGCUGAGGUGCGAAAGCGUGGGGAGCAAACAGGAUUAGAUACCCCUGUAGUCCCUGUCUCUUAUAA